GAAGGCAUCCUCCUUCCAGAAGACGUAAGCCUUACAAAAUAGCCACAAAACUCUUCAUGGCACUACUGCAGCACCACUGAACUCUUCUUUCUUGGACGCAUCAUUGCCAUUAGUAUGCUGAAUCAUGGCACAGUGGAAUUGAAGUAUGAUUUCCUCGCAGGGACACACAUACUGGUGCAGCUGCGACUGCCACCAAGGCCGCUUCAUAUUUGAGUGCUGAGCCACGGGGUACUCGGCCCGCCACAACAGCCACUGUGCAAGGCACAUCACAAGUGGGCAUUGACAUGCCGAGAUCUUUCCCGUGGCAGCAUCAACUUCCGCAGCAGAUCAGGCUACCUGAGCAGACUGGAAUUCAAUACUCUUUGGCAGCUGCAUCACUGUUGCAGGAAG
rnacentral:lncRNA from 1 species